rnacentral:misc_RNA from 1 species
UUUUCACAUUACAAAUUCUCCAGUCCUGUCAAUUCUGUUUUUUGUCAAACCAAAGAAUUAAGGAGAUAAACUAAUCUUAUCAUCAUGAAGAGGUUCAGUUUCUCAGAUUCUUCUGGCAAAUUGCUUUAUCCAACUGAAGAGAAAAAUACAGAGAAUUUGGGAUAUAGCAAUGAAUUUCAGGCAAUGUUGGAUGGAUUGGAAGAUGAAGAUGGGAUAGAAGAAAGUGGAUGUGGAACAGGGAAGAAAAGGAGGUUAAGAGUAGAUCAAGUUCAAG